AAGGUGGUAGGCUGAAAUCUUAGGUAAAUCCGGGGUUUCAAGGCCGAGAGCUGAUGACGAGUCGUCUUUUAGAUGACGAAGUGGUUGAUGCCAUGCUUCCAAGAAAAGCUUCUAAGCUUCAGGUAACCAGGAACCGUACCCCAAACCGACACAGGUGGUCGGGUAGAGAAUACCAAGGCGCUUGAGAGAACUCGGGUGAAGGAACUAGGCAAAAUGGCACCGUAACUUCGGGAGAAGGUGCGCCGGCUAGGGUGAAGGAUUUACUCCGUAAGCUCUGGCUGGUCGAAGAUACCAGGCCGCUGCGACUGUUUAUUAAAAACACAGCACUCUGCAAACACGAAAGUGGACGUAUAGGGUGUGACGCCUGCCCGGUGCCGGAAGGUUAAUUGAUGGGGUUAGCGCAAGCGAAGCUCUUGAUCGAAGCCCCGGUAAACGGCGGCCGUAACUAUAACGGUCCUAAGGUAGCGAAAUUCCCUGUCGGGUAAGUUCCGACCUGCACGAAUGGCGUAACGAUGGCGGCGCUGUCUCCACCCGAGACUCAGUGAAAUUGAAAUCGCUGUGAAGAUGCAGUGUAUCCGCGGCUAGACGGAAAGACCCCGUGAACCUUUACUGUAGCUUUGCACUGGACUUUGAGCCUGCUUGUGUAGGAUAGGUGGGAGGCUUUGAAGCGUGGACGCCAGUUCGCGUGGAGCCAUCCUUGAAAUACCACCCUGGCAUGCUUGAGGUUCUAACUCUGGUCCGUAAUCCGGAUCGAGGACAGUGUAUGGUGGGCAGUUUGACUGGGGCGGUCUCCUCCUAAAGAGUAACGGAGGAGUACGAAGGUGCGCUCAGACCGGUCGGAAAUCGGUCGCAGAGUAUAAAGGCAAAAGCGCGCUUGACUGCGAGACAGACACGUCGAGCAGGUACGAAAGUAGGUCUUAGUGAUCCGGUGGUUCUGUAUGGAAGGGCCAUCGCUCAACGGAUAAAAGGUACUCCGGGGAUAACAGGCUGAUACCGCCCAAGAGUUCAUAUCGACGGCGGUGUUUGGCACCUCGAUGUCGGCUCAUCACAUCCUGGGGCUGAAGCCGGUCCCAAGGGUAUGGCUGUUCGCCAUUUAAAGUGGUACGCGAGCUGGGUUUAGAACGUCGUGAGACAGUUCGGUCCCUAUCUGCCGUGGACGUUUGAGAUUUGAGAGGGGCUGCUCCUAGUACGAGAGGACCGGAGUGGACGAACCUCUGGUGUUCCGGUUGUCACGCCAGAGGCAUUGCCGGGUAGCUAUGUUCGGAAAAGAUAACCGCUGAAAGCAUCUAAGCGGGAAACUUGCCUCAAGAUGAGAUCUCACUGGGAACUUGAUUCCCCUGAAGGGCCGUCGAAGACUACGACGUUGAUAGGCUGGGUGUGUAAGCGUUGUGAGGCGUUGAGCUAACCAGUACUAAUUGCCCGUGAGGCUUGACC
rnacentral:rRNA from 1 species